GGAGAAGAAGAGGAGGAGGAGGAGGAAGAGAGAGCAAGAGAGAGAACUAAAAACCCCCUGAAGGAUGGUUCUCCAAAACUGCUGGCGGAACCAGGGGGAAUUCCGGGGCGAGCGGGAGCCGGGCGCGGAGAUGGCCGAGCCCGGAGGUGUUUGAUGAGCAGAUUGGGUCUUUAUCUCGGCGCUGGAGAGCAGGCAGGCUCGCGGGGAGACGCUGGAGCUUUACAGGAUUUCUGCUGUUUGUUUGUUUUCUUCUGCUGAAAUCCGGCUGCCUUUUUACUGCUCUGUAAAGAAUUUUGUAUGGGCUGAAUAUGUUUCUGCUUUAUAUAUGGCUUUUCAUAUCACCGUAUUAAACAUAUUGAGAGUUAAGGAGAAACUA